rnacentral:misc_RNA from 1 species
AGACUCAACCCCUCGGGUUUCUUGACCCGAGGUGCGUUGGAUUUGGGCCCUGCCUUUCCUGGCUGGCCUUAAAUGUGUUAGCGGUGACCGCACAGACGUUGUAAGCACUCGUCGACCGUCGGGCCCGCUCCCAACCCCCAAUCUAUUUUGCA